rnacentral:rRNA from 1 species
GAUGAACGCUGGCGGCGUGCCUAAUACAUGCAAGUCGAGCGAACAGGCGAGGAGCUUGCUCCUCUGACGUUAGCGGCGGACGGGUGAGUAACACGUGGAUAACCUACCUAUAAGACUGGGAUAACUUCGGGAAACCGGAGCUAAUACCGGAUAAUAUAUUGAACCGCAUGGUUCAAUAGUGAAAGACGGUUUUGCUGUCACUUAUAGAUGGAUCCGCGCCGCAUUAGCUAGUUGGUAAGGUAACGGCUUACCAAGGCAACGAUGCGUAGCCGACCUGAGAGGGUGAUCGGCCACACUGGAACUGAGACACGGUCCAGACUCCUACGGGAGGCAGCAGUAGGGAAUCUUCCGCAAUGGGCGAAAGCUUGACGGAGCAACGCCGCGUGAAUGAUGAAGGUCUUCGGAUCGUAAAACUCUGUUAUUAGGGAAGAACAAAUGUGUAAGUAACUAUGCACGUCUUGACGGUACCUAAUCAGAAAGCCACGGCUAACUACGUG